UACAGAGGGUGCGAGCGUUAAUCGGAAUUACUGGGCGUAAAGCGUGCGUAGGCGGUUAUUUAAGUCAGAUGUGAAAGCCCCGGGCUCAACCCGGGAAUUGCAUUUGAGACUGAAUAGCUAGGGUCCGGUAGAGGGAAGCGGAAUUUCCGGUGUAGCGGUGAAAUGCGUAGAUAUCAGAAGGAACACCAGUGGCGAAAGCGGCUUCCUGGCCCAGUACCGACGUUCAGGCACGAAAGCGUGGGGAGCAAACAGG
rnacentral:rRNA from 1 species